AGAGUUUGAUCCUGGCUCAGAUUGAACGCUGGCGGCAGGCCUAACACAUGCAAGUCGAGCGGUAGCACAGAGAGCUUGCUCUCGGGUGACGAGCGGCGGACGGGUGAGUAAUGUCUGGGAAACUGCCUGAUGGAGGGGGAUAACUACUGGAAACGGUAGCUAAUACCGCAUAAUGUCGCAAGACCAAAGUGGGGGACCUUCGGGCCUCAUGCCAUCAGAUGUGCCCAGAUGGGAUUAGCUAGUAGGUGGGGUAACGGCUCACCUAGGCGACGAUCCCUAGCUGGUCUGAGAGGAUGACCAGCCACACUGGAACUGAGACACGGUCCAGACUCCUACGGGAGACAGCAGUGGGGAAUAUUGCACAAUGGGCGCAAGCCUGAUGCAGCCAUGCCGCGUGUGUGAAGAAGGCCUUCGGGUUGUAAAGCACUUUCAGCGGGGAGGAAGGCGUUAAGGUUAAUAACCUUGGCGAUUGACGUUACCCGCAGAAGAAGCACCGGCUAACUCCGUGCCAGCAGCCGCGGUAAUACGGAGGGUGCAAGCGUUAAUCGGAAUUACUGGGCGUAAAGCGCACGCAGGCGGUCUGUCAAGUCGGAUGUGAAAUCCCCGGGCUCAACCUGGGAACUGCAUUCGAAACUGGCAGGCUAGAGUCUUGUAGAGGGGGGUAGAAUUCCAGGUGUAGCGGUGAAAUGCGUAGAGAUCUGGAGGAAUACCGGUGGCGAAGGCGGCCCCCUGGACAAAGACUGACGCUCAGGUGCGAAAGCGUGGGGAGCAAACAGGAUUAGAUACCCUGGUAGUCCACGCCGUAAACGAUGUCGAUUUGGAGGUUGUGCCCUUGAGGCGUGGCUUCCGGAGCUAACGCGUUAAAUCGACCGCCUGGGGAGUACGGCCGCAAGGUUAAAACUCAAAUGAAUUGACGGGGGCCCGCACAAGCGGUGGAGCAUGUGGUUUAAUUCGAUGCAACGCGAAGAACCUUACCUGGUCUUGACAUCCACAGAACUUUCCAGAGAUGGAUUGGUGCCUUCGGGAACUGUGAGACAGGUGCUGCAUGGCUGUCGUCAGCUCGUGUUGUGAAAUGUUGGGUUAAGUCCCGCAACGAGCGCAACCCUUAUCCUUUGUUGCCAGCGGUUCGGCCGGGAACUCAAAGGAGACUGCCAGUGAUAAACUGGAGGAAGGUGGGGAUGACGUCAAGUCAUCAUGGCCCUUACGACCAGGGCUACACACGUGCUACAAUGGCAUAUACAAAGAGAAGCGACCUCGCGAGAGCAAGCGGACCUCAUAAAGUAUGUCGUAGUCCGGAUUGGAGUCUGCAACUCGACUCCAUGAAGUCGGAAUCGCUAGUAAUCGUAGAUCAGAAUGCUACGGUGAAUACGUUCCCGGGCCUUGUACACACCGCCCGUCACACCAUGGGAGUGGGUUGCAA
rnacentral:rRNA from 1 species